UACGUAGGGUGCGAGCGUUAAUCGGAAUUACUGGGCGUAAAGUGUGCGCAGGCGGCCGAGCAAGUCGAGUGUGAAAGCCCCGAGCUUAACUUGGGAACUGCGCUCGAAACUACUUGGCUAGAGUGUGGCAGAGGGAGGUGGAAUUCCACGUGUAGCGGUGAAAUGCGUAGAGAUGUGGAGGAACACCGAUGGCGAAGGCAGCCUCCUGGGCCAACACUGACGCUCAUGCACGAAAGCGUGGGGAGCAAACAGGA
rnacentral:rRNA from 1 species